rnacentral:rRNA from 1 species
AUUGAACGCUGGCGGCAUGCCUUACACAUGCAAGUCGAACGGUAACGGGCCUUCGGGUGCCGACGAGUGGCGAACGGGUGAGUAAUACAUCGGAACGUGCCCUGUAGUGGGGGAUAACUAGUCGAAAGAUUAGCUAAUACCGCAUACGACCUGAGGGUGAAAGUAGGGGACCGCAAGGCCUCAUGCUAUAGGAGCGGCCGAUGUCUGAUUAGCUAGUUGGUGGGGUAAAGGCCUACCAAGGCGACGAUCAGGAGCUGGUCUGAGAGGACGAUCAGCCACACUGGGACUGAGACACGGCCCAGACUCCUACGGGAGGCAGCAGUGGGGAAUUUUGGACAAUGGGCGAAAGCCUGAUCCAGCAAUGCCGCGUGUGUGAAGAAGGCCUUCGGGUUGUAAAGCACUUUUGUCCGGAAAGAAAUGGCUCUGGUUAAUACCUGGGGUCGAUGACGGUACCGGAAGAAUAAGGACCGGCUAACUACGUGCCAGCCGCCGCCGUAAUAC